GACACACACGACUAAACACGCAUGGACAUCGCUGGAGUACUUUACAGGCUCAUUUGAGAUGUUGUCAAGCAGACCAAAUCCCUGAAUGAACUUACAUCGACUGUGAUAGCCCAACGCACUCUUGUCCUGAAGGGAAUUCCUGUUUUACAUGGAUCAAGUCCAGCGAAUUCUACAGCACAGCAUUUGACGCUGUGACUGAUGGGACCAUCUCAUGUGUUGAUGUGCUCACUGUUCUUGGGGAGAUUGACGGCUAACAUCAUUUCCAGGGUCCAAGCUGCUGUCAGGUGUUAUGGUGGCACCUUAU